rnacentral:rRNA from 1 species
AUUGAACGCUGGCGGAAUGCUUUACACAUGCAAGUCGAACGGUAGAGGGGGCAACCCCUCGAGAGUGGCGAACGGGUGAGUAAUAUAUCGGAACGUGCCCAGUCGUGGGGGAUAACGUAGCGAAAGUUACGCUAAUACCGCAUACGAUCUAAGGAUGAAAGCGGGGGAUCGCAAGACCGAGCGCGAUUGGAGCGUCCGAUAUAAGAUUAGGUAGUUGGUGGGGUAAGGGCUCACCAAGCAAACGAUCUGUUGCUGGUCUGAGAGGACGACCAGCCACACUGGAACUGAGACACGGUCCAGACUCCUACGGGAGGCAGCAGUGAGGAAUUUUGGACAAGGGACGCAAGUCUGAUCCAGCCAUUCCGCGUGCAGGAUGAAGGCCCUCGGGUUGUAAACUGCUUUUGUACGGAACGAAAAGGUCUCUCUUAAUACGGGGGGCUCAUGACGGUACCGUAAGAAUAAGCACCGGCUAACUACGUGCCAGCCGCCGCAGUAA